UCUUUCAUUUUUCAAUUUUAUUGGUGACAGCUGUACAGAAUAACAGUUUGUAGAGUUUAAACUAGUUUUUUGUGGUUUUGGUAAAUGAAAAAUGGAUCUACAAUCAAAAAAGCUUGUCCGAGCGACUCAGUCAGAUUGCCUUAUGUCAUAAUUUGAUAGGUUCAAACAAAAUGGGUUUUUUGUGAUUUUGAGGUUGGUGGAAAAUCUUUUCGAGUGCAUCGUACUGUCUUGGCAGCCUCUUCAGAAUACUUUGAAGCCAUGUUUUCAAGCAACAUGAACGAAGUUCAUUAUUACCACGGUAAUAUGAAGGAUGUCGAUUAGGAUCAGACAAUCGUCUCGAUAUAAAACAAGAAACCGAACAGUUCGUGAUAACUAAUUUCAAAUCUGUUAUUUCUUCCGAGAUGUUUCCAUUCGUCACCAAAUCAGAUCUCUUGCGUUACAUGAGAAACGAGACUUACCAAACAUCAUCUGAACCUGUUGUAACAUGGGCAAGAAUUAAAGACAACGUAGAUGUUUUCGAGCUUGUCCAUGCUGACAAAUUUCCAUUUAAAUUUCUUCUGCAAACUGUCCUUGAAGAACCCAUUGUAAAAAAGAAUAAAACGACUAAAAAUUCAGUGAUUACCGCCUUAUUCUCUGAGGUAAAAAAGAUGGAGACAGGUCUCAAAAUUGACAACUGCUUUACUUUGAAGAACCUGGCUGAAACACAUCAAGUUAAUGAUCCGAGUGCAGUACAAAAUGUGAUAACUCAAUUUUGGGGGCAAAUUUCGAACGGGUUAUAAAGAAAAAAGAAUUUCUUGACAUAAGCAAAAAUGACAUAAUGGCACUUUUCAAAUCUUCAAGCACAAAAUAUUCUUCCGAUGCUGUCAAAUGGGAGGCGAUGCUAAAAUGGGUGAAACACGGUGUCGGAAGUAGAAGAAAAAUAUUCCCAGACUUGUUUAGUUUUCUCAAACUUGAAGAUUUAUCUCUUGAGUUUCUAAAGGAGACAGUCCGAGUUGAACCCUUGGUUAAGAAAGCAGAGAAAUGCACCGACAUGCUCAUGGAAGAAAUUUUCUCUCGCGCUUCUGCAAAAGUUAUUCAACAAAAUAAAACAAACAAAGAUAUUUAUGUAUAAAAAAUAUUUGCCCUGGCCAUACGAGUGCAUCUUGAACCAGUGGUUCCCAACCUUCCCACCCCAGCUGACUGAUAACGUCAAAUAAAAUGACAUCACAAAACAAAAUAGGCAGAGGUCAAUUUGCUUUGCAGAAAAAAGGAAGGCAAAAAAGGGCAUUCCCAGGACCAGUGGUUCCCAACGUCGAUCGAUGGGACCAGCGGUUGGGAACCGCUGUUUAAAACAGUGGUCAUCAAGCACUUUUGCUUUUGUUAAUUCAUAUCUAUGCUGGAGUGUUUAAAAUAAACUCUGAAUGGGAGCUAAGAAUUUUUUGUUUGAGAAUUGAGAUUGCUAUAAGUACUCUUAUCCGGUCCGCGACACUUCACUGUAUUAUAGUAACAAAACAGCUGUUUUGAAGAAUAUAUAUUCCUUAUCACAUUAACCGCUAUGCAAUCACACCAUCCCUUCCUCAGUAAAACUGUAAAUUAUCAUUUUCUCGUAGUUUGUGCCUGCGAUAUAUUUUUUACUGGUUGAAAAAAAUAAACUUGACUUGACUUCCCAGUUGCUAUUUCAAGUACAUUUGAAUUGUGCGAAUAUUUGCCAACAUAUAGACUUAUUCAAUGUUUCAGUAUGAAUACUUAAUACCCUAUUUUUCGUUUUGCUAAGAUUAAUAAACAUAUCCUUUUGGUUUACAGUACAGGUGAUCCAACUCCUAUGCUCCCUGGCCCCAAUAUUCAACAACCGGUUCCCCUACACUUCAAUUUUGGAAAUUCAAGUUCUAUGUUCGGUUCCUUGGAUAAUCAACAGAGUCCUCAGAGUCCCCCUCCAGAAGGAUUGGAAUGUUUUGCUCAUUUAUCAAUGAUUUGUGACUGACUUCACUAGUUCAGUGAGAGAGAGAGAGAGGAUUACCUGGAUUUUUAUUACAUGCUUGUCAAUUCACUGAAUAUUUGCCGAAUAAUGAGGUUGGAGAAGAACU